rnacentral:rRNA from 1 species
AACGAACGCUGGCGGCAUGCCUAACACAUGCAAGUCGAACGAGACCUUCGGGUCUAGUGGCGCACGGGUGCGUAACGCGUGGGAAUCUGCCCUUGGGUUCGGAAUAACAGUUAGAAAUGACUGCCAAUACCGGAUGAUGACUUCGGUCCAAAGAUUUAUCGCCCAAGGAUGAGCCCGCGUAGGAUUAGCUAGUUGGUAGGGUAAAGGCCUACCAAGGCGACGAUCCUUAGCUGGUCUGAGAGGAUGAUCAGCCACACUGGGACUGAGACACGGCCCAGACUCCUACGGGAGGUAGCAGUGGGGAAUAUUGGACAAUGGGCGAAAGCCUGAUCCAGCAAUGCCGCGUGAGUGAUGAAGGCCCUAGGGUUGUAAAGCUCUUUUACCCGGGAUGAUAAUGACAGUACCGGGAGAAUAAGCCCCGGCUAACUCCGUGCCAGCCGCCGCUGUAAUAC